rnacentral:misc_RNA from 1 species
GGUUGGAUUCCACCUCCUUGAGGAAGUGUAAAAAUAAAUGUUGAUACCUCUUUUGAUUAUACUUCUUCAGUUGCUGGUUAUGGUGUUAUAGCGAGAAAUUCAGUAGGUGCAGUUAUUGAUGGCUCUGCAACUUCUUUUGUCAACCUUUCUCCUCUCUCAGCUUCUUUGUUUGCCAUUAGUAGAUCUUUUAUUGCAUGCCA